rnacentral:lncRNA from 1 species
CCCGGACGACUAGGAUCACUCCAUGAACUACAAUACUAAAGCCCUCAGCCCCCCCUACUAUCAACCGAGUCCCUGCACCGAAGGGGUUAUGUUGGCAUUACGAUGAGCCGUGGAGCCACGAGCAUCGCCGUAGAAAAGGGAGAUUUCUUAUGAUUGAACCGGUAGAAGAAGAGGUCAUUGAACAUCUAGAAGAGAGCCUUGAAU